GAGUGAAGGCGGAACCCUUCAGGAGGCCGGCGGCAAGGACGAUGAGGGCUCAGUCCCUCAGGAGACCUGCAGUGGCACAGAACCCCCUCAGAAGGCCGGCAGCGGUGAAGGCGGAACCCUUCAGGAGGCCGGCGAAGGCGAGGUAGAGGGCGGGUCCCCUCAGGAGGAAGGCGAGGUAGAGGGCGGGUCCCCUCAGGAGGAAGGCCAGGUAGAGGGCGGGUCCCCUCAGGAGGCAGGCCAGGUAGAGGGCGGGUCCCCUCAGGAGGCAGGCCAGGUAGAGGGCGGGUCCCCUCUGGUGGACAGGGUAGAGGGCGGGUCCCCUCUUGUAGAAGGCCAGGCAGAGGGCGGGUCCCCUCUGGUAGAAGGCCAGGUAGGAACGGAGGGCGUGCCUCCCCUGGACGGUCUGGAGGGCGGACCCCCUCCGGCAGGAGCAGAGGCCGGUCCCCCUCUGGAAGGAGCAGGGGGCGGGCCCCCUCAGGCAGGAGCGGAGGCCGGUCCCCCUCUGGAAGGAGCAGGGGGCGGGCCCCCUCAGGCAGGAGCGGAGGGCGGACCACCUCAAGCAGGCGAAGAGGCCGGUCCCCCUCUGGAAGGCGAGGAGCGGGCUCAGGAACCGGAC
ensembl:lncRNA